CUCAGAAGUUCAGGUAACAAUUUAGUUUGGCUUUAGUGAGAUGGAGUGUAAAUAAGGUGAUUCCAUUUUGAUUUUUUUGCCUGCUGUCUUGGGGCCAGUACAGAAAUCUAAUCACAAGCUACGGGGUCUCCUACAAUUUGUACCUAAUUUCUUUCCACAGAUUCCCUUUUAUCUCAGUUCUCUGCCAGGGGUUCUAUCUUUAGCCAGGGCUAACGUCUUCCACGCCUAGUGAACUGAUAAAGGCUUGAUCACAACAUCAGCUGAGGUCAGAGCUAGCCGGACAGGUGGGUCACCUAGGCAACAAAGUGCUCCUUAGAUCUGCUCUCUUGACUUCCUCAUUUCAGGGGACAAGGGUGGCUGUGAGGACAUGUGUGCACUUAGAUUCAGUAGUGACACAACAGUAAGAGCAAUGAUAAAGGGAUGCAGAAAACAAGCCUUUUCCCUCAGACUGCCACAGUGAGUUUUAGUUGCGUCUUGCAUAGGAGACGCCUGCCACACCUCCAGAUCCUCUCCUGGAUCCAUCCUGGGCACAGGCUACGCUGAGCUUUUCCUUCCCAUGGGACAGGGAAAGGCCCCUGCCAGAGCAGAGGGCACCGGCACAGGCUAGGCAGGAGCGGGCUCCUGACACAGGAGUUUGGGGAUAAGAACUGUGUGUGUGCAGACUUCAUUGCCUAACCUGACUUCUCUUACAAAACUUGCAAAUUUCAAUGUGGUGACCACAGAGCACCGUCUCUCCUGUACCCUCCUGGACCUUGGUCACACAGCUGGGAAGGAACCCUGCCUACAAAGUACACAUGUCACUUGCUUCCUCUCACAUUCCCUCUUCCCACUUCCUCUUUCUCUCUCCAUCUGCCUUGGCUAUAACUUGGUGGGUUCCUGCUCGCUAUAAGAAGCCUGCCUCUUUGAUCACACAGGGGCUUUUAUCAAUUUUUCUAUAGAGUCUUUCACACAAUACAUGACUCUGCACAUUUCGAGGGGUCUGGGACACAGUUGAAACAGUCAAGUGACUUUUUUUUCUUGGAAAAUAGGAGCUCCUAGAAAAGGAAAACAGGGGAAAAGUGCCAGCGGGGCGAAUCUGUUUUGUUUACAGUUUCCUGGCAGAGAAAAGGAAUUCGGGUUGCCAAGGUGAUUCAAAGGGCAAGCAGCCCUGUUCAGCUUCCCCUCUUUGUAUUGGAGGGAGCUUUAAGGACAGAGGGAAAAAACAAAAGGAGGUCCUUCACCUCUGCUCCUUUUCCUCGCCUGACCCUUGGCAGUGGUGGCAGCCCAGGGCAUCUGUGUCUGCCUCUUCUAAAAGUCCUACCAACUUGUCCCAGGCAUCUUGGAGGCUGGAAUACCUUAGACCAUGCCUCUGAAUAAGAGAGAAGCCCAGCCCAGGGGCAGCAGACAAGAGGGAGAAUUACGCUGUCAAGAAUUCCAGCUGUCUCACCACUAGUGAGUGCUGCAUGUCCAGAAAGGGCUGGCGGGAUGGACUGCUGGACAUAGAAGUCCUGCAACCUUGGGUGGACCAAACAUGGAGUCUGUCUCAGAGACGUUGACAAGACUUGCAUGAGAUGAUUGAAAUGGAGAGUUUGUCACCAUGCCUGCUACUCGAACUGAGGUGCUACCUCUGCUUGUAGUGGUUAAUCUGGGUGAACAGUCUUGGCUGGGUUGUUUCUCUUUGGAAGUUGAUACCCAUGCGUGCUAUGGAGCCAUCUUGCUACUGAGGAGCUGGAAACAGGCUGUUGGGAGGCUAUGAAGAACAUAUAUAUAUUCACUGGAUAAGGGAAUACUACAUCUUCUGCCCUUUGCUUAUUCUUGCAUUGCUUUGGGUUUUGUUUGUUUGUUUUUGGAUAAAGUAGUUAUCGGUGUCAUAAAUAGGCAAACCAUUUGGUCCUGUUAGAAUCAAUUGACAUUGACUCCUGCGACCCCCUCCCACCAGAUGAUCACCAUAAAGGAUUUGAACAAUACUGUGAUAAUGAGAGACACACUCACCACGUGAGAACAACGGGGACUCUCCCUUGAGCUGAGGAAGACUCAGAGGAACUACGAAAGUGCAACUCCAUUUUUAACAAAUGAAGAAGACUCUAAUUUCAAAACUCUCCACGUCAUAAGAGACCAAAAGAGUCUACAGAUAUGAACUAAAUUAUAUUUAAAAAAAUGACAUGAGAAUUAAACAUCUAAAAAUCUAACUUAGCCUGGAUUCUUUACUGGAGUUGUAGGUAGUGAUAUAAAAGACAUUAUUGGGUCAGUAGAUAGCACGGGGUGUACAUGGUAUAGAUUGAACACACACACACACA
rnacentral:sRNA from 1 species